AUAUUGGGGAAUUGCCACUAAUACCACUUUGCUAAUACCACUUUUCAACUUUACACUUUUCAACUUUACCAUUAAAAUUUUAAUAGACAAAGUACAAUUAUACCCUUGAAUAAUUAAACCUAAAUUACUCACUUUCUCCCCCAAUUCUAAAUCUGAGAGUUCCCAGAUUGAUUUCGAAUUCGACGGUGAUCAAAUCCGACGACACUGACGAGUUCUUCGGACGGCGCUGGCGAGUUCUCCGGCGGAUUUGACGGCGCUGACGAAUUCUCCGACGAAGCUAAAAAACUCUACAAGCUCAGGUGAAAAAGACGAUCUGUCACUUUCUCCUUCAUUGAGAAAUAAUGACGAUGGCGACGAGCGUUGAUUCGCUUCUGGAGAAGCUCAAACAGGAGGAGCUUUACCUUUCCACCAAGUAAUUGGGAGUCCUUACAUUCUCAGAGCCGCCAAUUUCCUCCUCCAACUCGUGCUUCUCCUCUAUCUUCUUCCUUUGUCUCUGAAUUAAGCUUGGUUAGGUUGGUGUUGAAUGCCCUGCAAGGUGUUGAGUCUUCUCUUAUUAGCAUACAUAAGCUCUCUUAUGUAUUAUGCUCUCAGCCAGCUGAUAGGACAACCUACCAAAGUCUGAGCUUGUGGCAUCGGUUAUCAAGCACUGACGCCUUGGGACAGAUUCUUUGAAACAUAUGAUGCUUUGGUUCUUUGGUCUUUCUUCUCCAUAACUUCGUAGACCCAUUUCAUAAACUUCAAGUUGGAAGUUGUGGGACAGGGGGAGCUGUAAAGUAGGUGAAAAUGAAGAAGCCAAUAACAAGAGCUGCUAUACUCUUGUUAAUCAGGCUUUUGCUAUUGCUGUGAGAAAGGUCUUAGAAGGCUAUAUAUCUGUUCUGGAUACAUUAUGUGCAUCUGCAGAACUGAGGCGUUCAUCUAACAUUGUGGUAUUGUAAACCCAUUAUAAUUUUUUAUAAACCAUUAUAAAUUCAGAAACCCCAAGUAUCUCUCAAUGAAUCAUCUCAAUACUCAAUUAUACCUUUUUAUAAGGCCUUAUAAAAGAAACUGUAAAAGAAUGAUGUUCUUUAAUAAGCAAAGAAAUGGUGGAAAGUUGGUUAAUUUGGUGAUUUAUAAACUCUUAUAAAUAGAUUUAUAAACCUUGUAAAUUAAUUUAUGAACACUUAUAAAUAAAUGUAAAAACUCUUAUAAAUAGCUUAUAAGUUCUUGUAAAUAGUUUUAUAAACUCUUUUAAUAGCUUUAUAAAUAUUUAUAUAUGUUUUAAAAACUUUAUAGAUGGUUGAUACAAGGUUUUAUAAGCUCUUAUAAAAUUUAUAAGUGAUUUUAUAAAGGUAAUCCGCUUGAGGUAUUUAUUACAAUUUUUAUAUUUAUAAGGCCUUAUAAAAGAAACCGUAAAACAAUAUAUAUAUUUAGCCCUAUGUUUUUAUGUUUUCAGAGGGAAACACAAUUUUCAAGAAGAUUGGAGUUGCAGAAAGAGAGAGAAGACACAUGUUUUUAUAUGUAAUAUAUAUGUUCUUGACACAUAUAAGAGAAACAAGACACAUGUCUUUCUGUAAUAUAUAUGUGUAACACGUGUUCUUAUAAGUGAUUGUAAGCUGUAAAUCAUUUGUACUUUACAUUUACUCUAGUUUCUUUUUUAAGAAAAUUAGUAACGAGUAUCUUCAUGUAUUUAUAUCACCGAUUUUUAUUUUUAAACUUUUUAAACUUAUAAUAGCUUUAUGAAUAUUUUACUUCUAAAUGUAAAGAUUUAUAAAAUCUUAUAAAAGAUUUAUAAACUCUUGAAAAAGAUUUAUUUUCUCUUACAAAUUGUGCGAUGAAGAUUAUUAAACUCUUAUAAUAUUUUUAUAAACCCUUAUAUACAGAUUUAUAAGCCUCUAUAAAAUGUUAUAAGACUUCAUAAAAUAAUUACCUUCAUAAACUCUUAUACACUGCAGUAGAUAUUUUAUAAAGUAUUACAAAUCUAUUUAUAAACCUAUAUGAAUCAAUUUAUACAUUCUUGUAAAUCAAAAUAAAAUAUCCUAAGUCUACUGAUUGCUUGAAGAGCUCAUCAACUUGGUGCUCCCCAAUCCGCCAUGGCUAUAUGAUGAUGAUGCCUUCUACUCCUCUUGCUUGGUGGUUUGAUUCAGCUGAAUUCACACUCAAAGAAGACUAUAACGACUUCUUUCUGAAUGUAUGUUUCUUAAUGUCUCAAGAAGCAUUCAUCCUUCAGAUUAAGUACUAGUAACAAGCAACUAUCUUUUAACAAUGCUUCAUUUCUUAAUAUACUUACAACGCUUUGUCAUACACUCUACACCUGAUUUCAUGAAAUAAAAGGUUGUAACACUUCAAAAUACCACCUGAUUCUUCUGAUAUGUUUUUUGGCUGAAUAGAUAUUUCUCUAACAGCUUAAAAAGACUCUCUAAACUAUUUAUAAAUUUUUUGAUAAAGUCUUAUAAAACCUUUAUAUUUUUUUGUAAACCCUAUACAAACUCUUCAAAACCCAUUAAAAUCUUUUAUAAACCCUUAUAAAUCUUUUUUCUUGUCAACAUUCUUUUCAUUUAAGCCUCAUGGGCUGAAAUUGUGGGCACAAGUCUUUCGGCUUAGAGCCCAACACUUUGAUACACAAGAUUAAAUUCAUAAAAAUAAAGAACACGUGCAUGUUUUAUAAAGAGAUGAUGAUACGUGGCAGAUUCUGAGGCACAUGAGGACAGCGAACAAUGCUCCACCGCUUCAGACCCCACCGCUUCAGCUCCACGAACGAAGAAACCUCCUUUGUCGGACUUACAAAUCUUAUAUGUCUUUAUAAAUGGUUUAUAGACUCCUACAAAUAAUUUUACAUACCCUUAUAAAUUAUUUUAUAAUGGUGUAUCAAUUUUAUAAAUUAUUUUUAUAAACCCUUAUAAAAUAUUUAUAUACCUUUAUAAACCCUUAUAAACUAUUAUACAAACCAUUAUAAGUUGUUUUGUAAAGCUUUCUAAAUGGUUAUAGACUCUUUUAGUUGAUUUAUAAACCUAUACAACUCUUAUAAUACCCCUUAUAAAUUGAAUAUAUGCUUUCAUAACAUUUUUAUAAACUUUUAUAAAUAGUUUAUAAAUUGCUUUUAUAAACCCUUAUAAAUUAUUUACAUUCAUCAAUAAUCAUAGAUCUACCCCCAUUGGUUGAUCUGAGAAAGUGAACCAUAGAUCUUAGAAACUCUUACAAAUAAUUUAUAAAUAUUUAUAAAUCGCUUAUAAACUUACAAAAAUGUUUUAUAAACUUUUGUAAAUGAUUUAUAAACUCUUAUUUGCCCUUUAAAUUUCUUUUCUCUUCACUUUUAUCUUCUUUCAUGUGUUAUUGCUCUAUAUCAUAUACUGCAAAAAGUAAAUCCACAAAAUUUUGUUCCCAUUAACUUUUCUUCUUUUUAUAUCUUUGUUGAACUAAUUGUACAACACUGUCAAAAUAUAUGUCAUUAAGAUCUGGAUGCGUUGGGGUCACCAAAUGUUUGUAUUCCUUAGAGAAUCCAAACAUUGUAUUAACCAAAAGAUGUAACAAAUAACAAACAAGUUUUAUAAGUCUCCCAAAUCUCUAAUUUACAAAUUUAUAAACCCAUAUAAAACUACAUUUAUAAUCUUUUAUAAAAUGCUUCACAUUAUUGACCAAGACACCGAUUGGAUAAUCACUUUUGGAUUGUCUAGUGGAUCUGUUCCAGCUUCAUAAAUCCUCAGAGGAAUCACGAAGAUGUGCAAAAUUCAUUGCUAUCUAACUGCCUGACGAAAUAAAAAGAUAAUGUUAACUUUUAAUCGUGUAAAGAUACCUUAUCCAAGCAUAAUGUUCAUGUAUUUUGGUAACAGUCUUACAAAGAAUAUAGGAUAACACAACACAAGACUUCUCAUGUUCACACGUUUAUAUGUUGUUCUAUAGAUAUAUACGAUGAACUCUUGUUUAAAAACUUCUUUUAUAACACCUUGUAAAUCGUUGAGAUGUAUUAUCAGCAAUAUCCUAAAACCCAGAUUUAUAAGGGGUUAUAAUUCCUUAAUAUGAAGUGUACUAUUGGAAAAUACCUCUCUUAAAUCGACAUGUUCAAAUGAGAAGUCUGAAGCAUCAAUGAUAUGAACUUAAUAAAACGAUGAUAUGAACUUCUAAUCAUGGUCUAAGAUGGAUAAGCAUAGUGUUCAUGUAUUUCGACAAAAGUCUUACAAAUAAUAUAGGAUAACACAACAAAAGACUUCUUGAGUUCACACAUUUAUAUGUAUAGAUAUAUACAACUCUUGUUAAAAAUACUUCUUUUAUAGAACCCUGUAAAUCGUUGAGUUGCAUUAUCAACAAUAACCUAAAAUCUAGGUUUAUAAGGGGUUAUAAUUCUUUAAUAUGCAGUGUUUACUAUCGAUAAUCUCUCUCUUAGCCAGAACCCUUCAGAUGACAAAUCCAAAUUAACUGUAUUCUAUUUUUGGAUAACAGAAAGGAAAAAACCCUAAAAUUACUUAAAACCCAGAUUUAUAAAUGGUUCUAAGUUGCCAAACUCAAUAUUCACUAUCAAAACUGUUUCUUUUAGAUCAACAUGUUCAAAUGAGAAGUCUAAAGCAAUCUUGUUUGAUUGUUUCAUUGGAAACUUUUCCAGAAAUUAUAAGGAACCAAGAUAGACAGAACUGUCACUAAUCAGCCAAAAAAAAAAAACUAAAUCAACAUAUUUGGAAGAAAGAGAGAAGCAAAUUUAAAACGUCUUACUUUCAUAAUUCAUCGUAGAAAGAGCAAUUGAUACUAAAACACAAACUCGUUAAAGACAUACACGCUGAAUUUCAUGAAUACGACGACGGCGGGACUCGAUGAAGCAGACGACGAACUCGUUAAAGACAGACACGGUGAAGCUCAUAAAUACAGCAACGACAUGUUUGAGGAUGACGAAAGAGAAGCUUGACGAAGAAGACGACGAACUCGUUAAAGACGGACACCGUGAAACUCAUGAAUACGGAGACGGCGGAUCUCCACGAGAGAGAAGAUAGAUCUGAAAAGAGGCGUUUAUGGUUGAAGAUAAGGAAAGGUUAAUUUAGUCUUUUGCCAUUUAGUGAAGAAGGUAUUUUUGAAAAUGUUCAUUUAGUGGUGGUAAAAGUGAAAAGUGGUACACCACAAAGUGUAUUAUUGAAAUUUCCCCCAAAAUAUUUAUCAAUUGGACAUGAUCCUAUUUUAAUAGUAUUGAUAUCUUCUGUAGAACUCGCAAAGGAAAUGCUACUACGUCUUCUUUUAUUGUUGCAAAAACUUUACCAUUCAAUGUUGUGAAGCUGUUUUUUUUUCUUUCUGAAUACCAAGAGAUUUGGCGCCAAAGGCUCUAACCCUCCGAGCCCCGAAACCACAGCUGUGUGAACUCUCUGUUUUGGAACAUCAAAAUGAAUAAUGUGUCGUGUGCGAAUCAAGCAAAUUACUUGUGACAUUUCUUCCUAGUUCAGAUAUUGAAUCUGAAAGUGAAAUAUGUUACAACUCAACAGAAACUGCAGACCGCAGUCGAAGGUAGUUUUGCUUCUGCUUGUCAUCUUCAUUGUCCAAAUUUAUAAACAGAUUUACAAAUUUUUGUCAAAAAAUUCAUUAUAAACCCUCUAAAACCUUUGCAAAAUUUAUAAAACCUUAUCAAAUAAACCACAUUUAUUGUGCUUAUUCUUUGAAAAAAAAUAGUUUUUCUGACUAAAACUCGUUCCAUCAUCACCUUCUGGGCUCUAAAACGAGAGUGAAGAAUUACGGGGUAAAACUCAUUAAUUUUACACAAAUAAAACAGGCAUGUAAGCCCAUUUGUGAGGCCUAGUUGAGGCUUAUAAAAGCUUGUAAAAAUGUACUCAAAUUCAUGAGCCUGUGAUGCUUGGCAGUUAAUAACACGAUUUUUAUUUAUAAAAUAUUGCAAUAUGAUUUGGUGUAAAGUCUGUUUUGGUUAUACAAUUAAGAGUAAAAAUGAAUAAAACCCUAAAAAAAUAAAAAUACCUAUGAUGUGACUAGUUUGUGUCUAUGGAGAAAGGUAUAACAUUGUGGGAUUUAGGGUAUUUGGUUAAUUAGGGUAAAAGUCUAGUGUACGGGGUACAAUUUCCCUACAAUUAACACUACAGUCGGUUACUCGGCUUCGCUACACUAAUACUACACAACAGACGUAAAUACUAACUAAGCAUGAAUCAUGAUCCUAUUCUUUUGGUCAGGACACAAAAUUAUUAAUGCAAUUAGUGAUAAACAAAAAUAUCAUAUUUAAAUACAUUAUCAUUGUUAUGUGUAAUUAAGAUUACUGCAUGAUGCUAAAUGAACAUCAAACCCUAGUUAUAACAUCUUCAUAUGGAAACAACCAACAAAAUAAAGUAUAAUCCUGUUACAGCAGUCUGAUAAUUCCAUCAGCUUGACUAGAUCUUAUAACACUUGGUAUACACCUACACGGCCC